AACAAAUGAACAUGGAGAAUUCAAAGUGAAACUACCUUUCUUAGUGAAGAAACAUGUGAAGAGAAUCAAAGGGUGUAAUUUUAAGUUGUUAAGUAGUAAUGAACCAAAUUGUGCUAUAGCCUCAACUUCUACUUCAUCUUCACUAAGCCUAAAGAAAAAGUUGCAACAAGAACACAUUUUUUCAGCUGGGAUUUUCUCAUUCAAGCCUAUAAAAAAACCAAAAUUUUGUGACAAAAAACAUAGUAUUCAUAACCUUAAGAAACAACAUAGUUAUGUGAAAAAUUUGGAACAAUCAAAAUUUUCAAGCAAAAAUAAAGUACCUAAUGAAGUUGAAGAUUUCUUCUUUUUUCCUCCAAACCCUUUUUUUCCACCACCUAUUAUCCCUAAUCCACUUCAACCUCCACCUUUGAUUCCUAACCCUUUGCAACCACCACCUUUGAUUCCAAAUCCAUUUCAACCACCAAGUCCACCCUUGAUUCCUAAUCCAUUUCAACCACCAAGUCCACCACUUAUUCCAAAUCCAUUUCAACCUCCUCCAUCAAAUCCACCACUUAUUCCUAAUCCAUUUCAACCUCCCCCAGCAAGUCCUCCACCACUCAUUCCAAAUCCAUUUCAGCCUCCACCAUCAAGUCCACCACCAUCAUUUCCUUUUCCACCAAUAGUAAUACCAGGUUUAACUCCAUCACCACCGCCGCCGCCACCACCAAAAUCAAUUUUUCCUGCUCCCUUACUUCCUUUUCCUCCACUGUUCCCACCACCUCUUAGCCCUGGCUCACCCCCUACUUCUUCAAGUAAUUUCUCUCCUUGAUUAUUAACAUAUUAUUCCUUCUGGUUCUAUUAAUAAAAAACAUUUGGGUCAACAAAAGUUGAUGUAUUUGGACCAAAUUAUUAACAAGUUACAUCAUAUUUUGCUGACCCAAAUGUUUCUUAUAAAUAAGACCAGAUGGAGUAUAUAAUAUUAUAGUUGUAAAUUGCAAUCUGCAGCUGCAACUUAACAGUUUUAGAGGUCUCCACAAC
rnacentral:lncRNA from 1 species